UCCGGGCUGCAUAUAUGUUCUGCAUAUGAAA
rnacentral:piRNA from 1 species